GACGUAGGGGGCAAGCGUUGUCCGGAUUUAUUGGGCGUAAAGAGCGUGUAGGCGGUUCGGUAGGUCCGUUGUGAAAACUCGAGCUCAACCUCGAGACGCCGAUGGAAACCCCCGAACUAGAGUCCGGAAGAGGAGAGUGGAAUUCCUGGUGUAGCGGUGAAAUGCGCAGAUAUCAGGAGGAACACCAAUGGCGAAGGCAGCUCGCUGGGACGGUACUGACGCUGAGACGCGAAAGCGUGGGGGAGCAAACAGG
rnacentral:rRNA from 1 species